rnacentral:lncRNA from 1 species
UAUUAAGGUUGUAGGAGUCUGUUUAGAGUAUUCUUCUGUAGAAUAGAGCAGUAUCUCCUUUUGCCUUUGACAACAGAGCUAUAAGAUGGUUCUUAGUGACAGAAAAAGUAUAUAAACUACAAGAGAUUACCCUUUCCUGGUCUGGAAAUUUUGUUAGAGAUUGCCGAGAAAACAAGAAGGAUUUCUUCUCUCCAAGUCCGGAGGGUGUGAGAUGAGUCAGAGAGUACCCAUAGGUUUGGGAGUGGAGAGAUGCGAGGACACAUUUUGUUGAAUCGAAUGGACCCAGUUGGACAGCAUCAACUCCAUGCACCCUACGCUUGAGUACAGAGCCCGCAAGCAAACAUUCUGAUUCCAAGUGUCUAUGGAACUUGGAGAGGAAAGAGACUGGACUAAUCUGGUGGAAGGCACAUGAAAGCAAGGAAUCUAAACUCAGGACCAGAAAUGGAGUGGAAGAGAGAAACUUCUGGGACCUAAUUAAUGGAACACACAGAGAACUUGAGAAGCAACCCCGGCCUGCGAAAACAAAACAAAAACAAAAACAAAAACAACAAAACAAAACAACAACAAAAAAACUCUGGAGCUGA